rnacentral:lncRNA from 10 species
AAAAAUCUUUAGGAAAUGAGCACUGUAUAAUUAGUUUCAUCACUUUUUACCAUAGGUACAGAAACUCUUCAAACUGUAGUAACUUAACUAUAUAUUAAUGUAAGAAAUAAAAACAAACAUUAGGCUGUUCUGGGCAAAUUUACUGUUAUGUCUUUGUUAACUAUUUAACAUGUUUUUUUUAGCCUUUUAAAAUAUAGACUCCUAGUACAAAACAGUAUCAUCUUAUCUAAGAAAAAUUCAAAGAAAAUCCACAGUUUUAAAAUGCACAUGGAAACUAGCACAGAACUUGAGAAAUACUAGACACUCACUCAUCAAACAGCUGCUGAAUAAAUAAGUUAUAGAAAUCCACUACAUUUCUUCACCAAAAUAUUAAUACUCUAUUAAUAAACUUUUGAAAUGUAUUUCUUUUCUAAAGUCUUUUUGUUCUUCACAAUAACAAAACCAAAGAAAAUGUGGCUACUUACUCCCUAAAUUAACAUUUUAUUGACUUGGCCAACCAAUGAAACCGUGUUGAUUAGAAGUAGGCAUCAACCAACAAACAGUACUUACCUCUCUGAAAGGAAAAUUGUCAGCAAGGCUUGUAAAGUUUUUCUCAGACACCCUGCUUUUAAUUUUCAUUAUACAAAUAAAUAAUUGAAUACCUACAUAAUUACUCUACUUUUCUUCUGUUUCAGUUUGGAAAUUUAGUAACACUUAUCUUGGGGGUUGCCAGUCUGCUUUUAGAACCAGCUGAUAAAUCCAGCUUAGUGCAAUGUUUACAUAAUGAUGAAUAAUUAGAAAAUGAAAACCAGAAACACCAUACACUAGAUGUAAUAUCAUUCGCAUUUUCACUUAUGAAUUGUGAAAUAUGUCAGCAAGAUAAUUAAAAUACCAGUUGGUUCUUAUUCCUCUUUUAACAAGACUUUCCACAGUAAAAAUUAUAAAAUGAGCAUAUAGUUACCAAAACGUUAGAAAUAAAAAAAAGUUCUUUAAGUAUAAAUUUAAGUAAAUUUAAAAAUACUUCUAUAAAUGUAUUUUAAGUUUAUUGAAUAAAUUGGUAAACAGCUGUGUCUAUAUUAAAACACAGAUGAAAAAAAUUGGAAUCAAUGCUCUUCACAUGUUCCUUUGUAAUAACUGCAGCCACUUUCCUUAUAUCCCAUUCAUUUAGUUAAUGUCCUCAUUUUUCAGCUUUGCUAAGUUUCAGUAAUUCACAUUAACAAAUACUUAUUGCAACUAGGAUGUGGUAAGAUAACAGUGCUGGCUGCUACAGCAUUAAGGAUAAACAAGGCAGAUGUGUAUCCUGUUCUAAUGGAAUUUACAGUUUGUUAGGAGAAGAAAGAUACAAUAAAUAUUUUCACAAAAGUUGUUGAAUUCCUGCCUGAAAAAAGAGCCAUAAAUGAAGACCGUAGCAUCCUAUGAGAUGCUGUUUACACACACUCCUCAGCACUGCUGAAUCCCUAGGGUUUCUAUAUAGAGUAGGUAAUUAUCAUGUUGCUCUUCUAAAAUAAGUCUUAGUCCUUGAAGAAGGCCACUUUUUUUCCUAAUAAAUAUUGUUCCCUAGCUUGUUUGAAUCUGUGUUACUCAAGUAGUGAGAAACUGAGUUGUUUAGGAAAUUUUAUCAUAGGACUCUGACUAAAAAAUUUACUGUUGUAAAGUAUGGUUUCGUUGCCUUAAAGAUUUUCAACUUUAUUUAUUUUUUGUUUCCAUCUGAGUACAUAUACACUCAUCCAAUGUGAAGGGCUAAACAGCAAUCCUUAUGAAAUAAAAAGGUUUUGUAACUUAAUGUUUUUAUUUUGCUUCCCAAGACACCAACUGUGUCUCUCAGGUUGAUACUAUGAUCCAACUUUAAAAGUGACUUUUAGUAUGUGACUAGUUUUUAUCAGCACUAUGUGCAUCUUUCCUUUUCCUAUACAAUAGUAAGUGCAUUUCAGAAUGUAAUUUAGCUAUCAUAAAUUAAUUAUUAUUAAACCAUAAGUAAUCACCAAAUCUUACGUAUUGAAUUAAGAACAGGCUAGGCGCGGUGGCUCACGCCUGUAAUCCCAGCACUUUGGGAGGCCGAGGAGGGCGGAUCAGAAGGUCAGGAGAUAGAGACUAUCCGGAGCAACAUGGUGAAACCCCGUCUCUACUAAAAAUACAAAAAAUUAACCGGGCACAAUGGCGGGCGCCUGUAGUCCUAGCUACUCGAGAGGCUGAGGCAGGAGAAUGGCGUGAACCUGCGAGGCGGAGCUUGAGGUGAGUCGAGAUAGCACCGCUGCACUCCAGCCUGGGUGACAGAACGAGACUCCAUCUCAAAAAUAAAAAUAAAAAAAUAAAUAAAAAAAAAAAACAUCCACUGAGCAGUUUUGUAUUAGGGAUCUAGAUUUUAUUAUUUUGAAUGUAAUCAACAGUGGUAAUAAUUAUCCUGGGAAGAAUUCCCUAUAAUGUUGGAAUUUUCCUGGGUAGUGAGAGCUUUUACAUAUAAAUGCCUCCUAGAACCAUCACACUGUCAGGACAUAGCUUAUUCCAUUGGAAAUAUUAGACUGAGGAACCCCAUCAUAGUCCAGUUAAGUUCUGCCUUUGUCUGAUUUGCUUCCAUAUUACCCUCUAUAUAAUACUCCGUGGUCAUUUAUAGCUUUCUCAGCGCCCUAUUUGCCCUGUCUUUAUUCCUAUAUACACCACACAUUUCAUUAUAUAUGUCGGAUUUUCCAGCAUUCCUUUUUUUGUUUUUGUAUUGUGUUUUGUUUUGUUUUUACAGAUGGGGUCUUGCUGUGUUGCCCAGGCUGGAGCACAGCGGCAUGAUCAUAUCUCACUGCAGCCACGACCUCCUGGGCUCAAGCAAUCCUCUGGUCUCAGCCUCCUGACUAACUUGGACUACACAUGUGCACCACCAUGCUCGGCUAAUUUGUUUUUAUUUUCUAUUUUUCGUAGAGACAGGGUCUCACUAUGUUGCCAGGUCUUGAACUUCUGAUCUCAAGUGAUCCUCCUACCUUGGCCUCCCAAAGUGCUGGGGUUACAGGUGUGAGCCACCGUGCCCGGCCUCAGGAUCCCUGUUUUUAUUAGUUCUUCUCACUUACUGUAUAACUGCCUUUGCCUUUUCUUUUUUUUUCCACAUUCUUCCUAUCUAAUAUAUUCAUUUUUGUAUUUAUUUUAAGUAUAUUGGGAGAAACAUUUGUCUAGUUGUCUAUUUUAGUUCUUCAUAUAUUAAGGAUUAUCAACAAUGAUGGAUUUUAUGCCACAGGUAUAAGAGGAAGCCCUUACCUGAGAUCUUGGGAUGGCUCUGCUCUGAUGUGCGGCGUCUCCACAGAGUGCCCAAAUACGGCUCCUUCAGUGCCUGGGGGUAGCAUGAAUAUAGCAGUCAGUAUAAGCAAGUCCACACAGUGGCUUUCAUCUCUAUGUUUAUGCAUCAAAUAUUCUUCCAAAACAGAGAAAACUUAAAACAGGUACAUAUGAUGUAUUAGUCCGUUUUCACACUGCUGAUAAAGACAUAUCCGAGACUGAGAAGAAAAAGAGGUUUAAUUGCACUUACAGUUCCACAUGGCUGGGGAGCCCUCAGAAUCAUGGCGGGAGGCAACAGGCACUUCAUACAUCGCGGUGGCAAGAGAAAAAUGAGGAAGACGCAAAAGCAGAAACCCCUGAUAAUACCAUCAGAUCUCGUGAGACUUAUUCACGACCGUGAGAACAUUAUGGGGGAAACCACCUCCAUGGUUCAAAUUAUCUCCCACCAGGUCCCUCCCACAACACGUGGGCAUUAUAGGAGUACAAUUCUAGAUGAGAUUUGAGAGAGGACACAGAGCCAAACCGUAUCACAGGAUAUGAAUGAGAAGAAUUGGAAGAAUAUCACCAGGCAGGGAAGAGUCAAUCAAGAAGUCACUGGUCCCAGAAGAAGAGGUAGCACAAGAAAAGGAAACCCAAGAAGCACCAGAGAGAAAGCAAACAACCAAGAAAGGAAUAUCACGGGAAAGCAUGAAGCUGUUAUAAAGUUAAUAUCUGCUAUUCUGGACUCAAGAAGGUCAAUCUGUACCCUCCGUACGUGCCUCCUUUCCUAGCCUUCCCAAGAAGUCUUAAGAAAAAUGGACAUCAACCAGGCUGAAACCUUGGCAUCAUACCUGGCACCUGCUGGAUGCUUAAUAAGUACUUGUGGACUGAGUGACUCUCAUGCCUUACCUCUGCAGUGUAGACAAUAGUACCCAUGCUUGCUACAUCACGGAGGACUUGUUAAGCAUUAUUCAAUUAUGAAUCUUUAGCUAGUCUACAUGUCAUAGAUUCUAAUAUUGAUGUUUUCUACCCUUUAAUAUAAGUGAAUUUUAAUCCAUUUUAUAGUACAUCUUGAAAUUAUAUAUAUAAUUUCCUUAGUGGUACCUAAUGUAUCUUCCAAUCAAUAAUUUUCCUGAUUUAUUGAAAAACGGUAUUAAAUAAAUGUAAUUACAAAACCAACUUACUGGCCAAUUCUACACACUGAUCUAUACACAAAACUCAAAGCCAGCUUCCAUAUUUAGAAAACACAAUUAGUUUGAGUAUUAGGCUUUGGCAAGAAAAUCUAACUGGGCCUUGAAGGUGAAUGUUAACUGAGGAGGAAGAAAUUUGAGAUAAUGGCCAGCAGUAAUUCAUCUUCCCAUAAUUCAUAUUAUGUCCAAAUUUCUUUGGACAUAACACUUUUGGCAUAUGGAUCUAUAGUUCCCGCUCCUAUUAAGAUAGGAAACCUUCCUCCUCUUCUAUUUAUAUUAAAAGCUCUUAUCAGAUAGAACCCAGCUGAGUCAGGGAAGUAGGAAUCACACAUGUGGGGCAUAGUUCUUUUCAUUUGUCUUUAUGUAUUCACUUUAUUUAUUAGAUAUAUGACACCCAGGAGCUCAAAGCAGGACAUCAUCUUUGUAUUCCAAAACAUCCUUAAAUUGGGAGAUGUGUCGCUUCUAGUAGCACCAGUAGAUGAAUAUUAAAUAGAUGAAUGAAUACUUAAGCUUUCAUCCAUUCAUUGGUCCCUAACCCCACCUCAGCACUACUCCCAGUGCUAGCCAAUAGGCUGCAAAAACUUACUCCUCCCCAUCAUCAUAGCUGCUGAGGAGCAUUCAUCAAGAGAAAAAAUAAUUUAAAACCCUAAUAACAUGUAAGCUAAUUUCUCCAAAAGCCAUAUGUAUUUUUUUUAAUAUUCUGAAACUACAUACAUGCUUCCAGGACCACAUAAAAAUUUGAAAAGCUUCAACUAGGGCUAUGCUAAGUAAGAUUAAAACUAAUGUUAAACUUUUGGGCUGUAAAGUUUAAAAUAACAGAUUUUUAAAAAUAGAAUUCAUGCUUUUUAAAAAUUUUUAAAUAAAUACCUUUCCUUAUAUAAUUUAAUGAAAAUAUGGAAACCAUUGAAGACCUAUUGUCCUUGGUCAUAGUUGUUGCAUUUGAUCUUGAAAACAUUAUUUCGACAGCUUGUAUUCAUUUGAGUGUGAUUUGUUCUAAUCAUAGUCUAAUCUUAUUUUGUGCCAUAGACGACAAUGAGCCAUAGUAAUCCAACUAUUGGGUGAUGUUCAAAAAACUGUGCCAGAGGCCAAUGUGUUAAUACAUGUGACUUACUCUGAGGGACCCAGGCACACAUUAACCCUGAACUGCCUGAAAGGUAUUAUAGAUAUCUUACACAUAAAACCUCAAUAUUUACAGUACAUUGCUUCCUUCAAAUAUACUCAGUUGCUGAGCAUAAUUGAUUCUCAAAAUAUAUCGCUGACUUUAAUGGCAUAGAUGUACAUUAGACAACAUUAAACACACACACCCACACACACAUAAUACCAAGACUUUUCUUGGCAUAACACUUAAUGUCAUUAUAUGAAAGAUACAUUAUUAACAUAAACAUGCUAUAUUGCAUGACAUAUAAACUGUUAGAAAAAUAAGUGGAGAGGUGUCUGGAUAUGGUGAAGUGAGGUGAAACCUUAAUUCAUUAAAUGUAAAUAAGCAAAGGCAAAUAAGCAAACAAGAAAAUAUUUACGCACAUAGAUGAGAUGCAUCUAAGCCAUAAAUAAAUGCAUGCAGAGUCAUCUAAUUGAAAAAGAGAUAUAAAAAUUCAUACUGCAGACUACACUUUAUUCAUCAUAUUAGCAUAAUUACAGAAGGCAAAAUUACAAGCAAUUAGCAAUGCAUUGAUAGUACAUAAAUAUUCUAAAUCAGAAAAUAAUUUUGAAUAUAUUGCAUUUAUACAUUGCUUUUCUUUCCUGCAAAUGGAAAAUGAUAUGUUCUUGGGGAUAUAGUCAAUUAUUAGGGAUAUUUAUGCUUAAAGUUAAUAUAUUAGGCUUUAUGAAACUGAUUUUAUUAUAUUCUAAGAUGCACUGUGUUACUUAUCUGUUUUUCAUGUAACAUCACAUGUUCUCUAAGAUAGGUCAAGGCAGGAUUCAGUUACUUAGAGAAGCAACAAUGCCCCAUUCAAUCUUAAUCCACCAAUGAUGCUGCCAGUGUUGCAGGAAAGCAAUGUGUCUAGAUGACUCUGGGUAAGGAGCUCUGAUUCCUUAACAAGUAGAUCAUAGGUGAUGGGAUUAUCUGGGUAGUGCUAUAUUUUCUUAGUCAUCUUAAACACCAACUUGCUAACUAAAGUACCAAGACUAAACACUUCCUUAGGAACAUCUCUGAGAAAGUUUAUGUCAAUAAACUCACAAUCAACAAAGAGAAGUCAAGGAUAGAAGAAGGAAAGAGAAUUGGCAAGAAAAAAAAAGAUGUAAGCAAAAUAAUAGGUUCCAUAAAAAGACUGGAGUAUUAGAUAUAUGUGCAAAUAUUUUCUCUACUUUUUUAAAUGUUCUAUAUACAUUCUUAAAAGAACAAACCACCACCAUCACCAAGGACAAGCAUAAAGCCAAUUUCUUGCUUCUCUCAGAGAUGGCUCCAUCACUUUUUUUGAACAUUCACAUCUGUUGCAGUCUUAAUCAACAGCCAAAGUCAUCUUUGGCUGACAAAGAGAGAUAAUUCAGUAAUUUAAAUACUGGUCUUUGUAUGUUCUACAGUACAUCGGUCAAAUACAUGAAUUGGAAAUUUUUCUUCUAUUACAUAAAAAUCUUCAAAGAGGCUCAAAUAUAUAUUUUCAAGAUUCCUCUUGGUACUAUUUAGCAGUAAUUCAAGGAAAACAAAACAAAGAUAAAAAUGGAUAUAGCUGCUUGUUUCUAGUGUGUCUUCCUCAAACUUGUCAUGAUCAUCCUUUCUUUUCUAUAUAACUCUUCACUUUAAUCUUAGAUGCCUGUCAGUAUUUUCAAGGCCUUGAAGAAUAGUAUUACUAAAAGAUUCAAAAUUUCCACAAGGAAAACAAAAAUGAGAUUCAAAAUUACCAACUAAAUUCUAUAUUCAGAAAUUCCUGGUUUAGAAUUGCUGUGGGCCAAAUCAGUCAACCAACCAACAACAAACUAAGUUUAAAACAAAACAAAAUAAGCUGCUUUCAUGAAAUAUAAAUAUAAAUAUACACUGUAAUAUGGUUUGGUUGUCUCCCCACCCAAAUUUCAUAUUGAAUUGUAGCUCCCACAAUUCCCACAUAUCAUGGGAGGGACCCAGUGGGAGGUAAUUGGAUCAUGGGGGCAGGUCUUUCCUGUGCUGUUCUCAUGAGUGUGAAUAAGUCUCAUGAGAUCUGAUGGUUUUAUAAAGGGGAGUUUCCCUGCACAAGCUCUUAUCUUCCCGGCUGCCACGUAAGAUGUGACUUGCUCCUCCUUGCCUGCAGCCAUGACUGUGAGGCCUCCCCAGCCACGUGGAACUGUGAGUCCAUAAACCGCUUUUUCUUUAUAAAUUAGGCAGUCUCAGGUAUGUCUUUACUAGCAGUGUGAAAACGGACUAAUACGCAUUGUGAGUUCUUUUAUUUUACCCUAUGCUAGUCAUUAAGAACUCAUUGUGCAACAUUUGCAGAAAAUCUGUUAUAUGAGAUCCCUGGAAAAGGAAUUGCCUACUUUUUCUUUACUUUGUCCCUAGAUUUUCCAAACAAAACUUCAAGUUAACCAUUUAGCGGACUUACUAUAUGCUAGGCAGCAAUGGAAGCAUUUUACAAAUAUAAAUUAAUUAAUUUAAUCCUCAUAACAAUCAUGGGAGGUGAUCCCUAUUUGACCGAUGAGGAAACCAAGGCACUAAGAUUUAAGAAAUGUUCCUAAUAUGUUAUACGUAAUGCACUCUAGAGUUAGGAUUCAAGCCAAGGCUGUUUGAGUACUAAGUCCUAAGUGCUAAGUUCUAAGAGCUAAGGGAGUCUUUGUGUGGCUCUAUUAUAUUCCUAACUUUUAUACCUCCUGGAGAAGGUACAACUUGACAUUCCACAAGAUUAAUAUUUGGGGGAACUUUUUUGCUAAUGAUGUAUAACAAAAUUAAAAAUAAAUUUCUGAAGAAUGUAUGUUGACUCUUCCUUCCUCUGCCAGCUACUGUCUCCCCCUGCUC